CCUACGGGGUGCAGCAGUGGGGAAUAUUGGACAAUGGGCGAAAGCCUGAUCCAGCCAUGCCGCGUGUGUGAAGAAGGCCUUCGGGUUGUAAAGCACUUUCAGUGGGGAAGAAAGCCUUGGGGCUAAUACCCUCGAGGAAGGACAUCACCCACAGAAGAAGCACCGGCUAACUCCGUGCCAGCAGCCGCGGUAAUACGGAGGGUGCGAGCGUUAAUCGGAAUUACUGGGCGUAAAGCGCGCGUAGGCGGUCUGAUAAGCCGGUUGUGAAAGCCCCGGGCUCAACCUGGGAACGGCAUCCGGAACUGUCAGGCUAGAGUGCAGGAGAGGAAGGUAGAAUUCCCGGUGUAGCGGUGAAAUGCGUAGAGAUCGGGAGGAAUACCAGUGGCGAAGGCGGCCUUCUGGACUGACACUGACGCUGAGGUGCGAAAGCGUGGGUAGCAAACAGGAUUAAUACCCCGGUAGUC
rnacentral:rRNA from 1 species